rnacentral:rRNA from 1 species
UACAGGGGGGUGCAAACGUUGCUCGGAAUUAUUGGGCGUAAAGCGCGCGUAGGCGGUCACCUAAGUCGAAUGUGAAAGCCCCCGGCUCAACUGGGGAGGGUCACGCGAUACUGAUCGACUCGAAGGCAGGAGAGGGAAGUGGAAUUCCCGGUGUAGUGGUGAAAUGCGUAGAUAUCGGGAGGAACACCAGUGGCGAAGGCGACUUCCUGGCCUGUUCUUGACGCUGAGGCGCGAAAGCUAGGGGAGCAAACGGG